GAGCAAUGAUGAGAAAGUUUACUACUGACCUAGAUAACCCUGAAGGUUUUCGACACUUGACCUGAGCUCA
rnacentral:snoRNA from 1 species